AAUAUUGCGCAAUGGGGGAAACCCUGACGCAGCAACGCCGCGUGAGCGACGAAGGCCUUCGGGUCGUAAAGCUCUGUCUAGAGGGACGAAAACUGACAGUACCUCUGGAGGAAGCCCCGGCUAACUACGUGCCUGCAGCCGCGGUAAUACGUAGGGGGCGAGCGUUGUCCGGAAUUACCGUGCGUAAAGGGUAAGUAGGCGGCUAUAUAAGUCAGGUGUGAAAUACCAGUGCUUAACACUGGAAUUGAAUUUGAAACUGUGUAGCUUGAGUGCAGGAGAGGAAAGUGGAAUUCCUAGUGUAGCGGUGAAAUGCGUAGAGAUUAGGAGGAACACCAGUGGCGAAGGCGACUUUCUGGACUGUAACUGACGCUGAGGUACGAAAGUGUGGGUAGCGAAC
rnacentral:rRNA from 1 species